UACAGAGGGUGCUAGCGUUGUUCGGAAUCAUUGGGCGUAAAGGGCGUGUAGGCGGUUUGUUAAGUCAUGUGUGAAAUCCCUCGGCUCAACCGGGGAACGACGCAUGAAACUGGCAAGCUAGAGUACCAAAGAGGGGGGUGGAAUUCCCGGUGUAGCGGUGAAAUGCGUAGAUAUCAGGAGGAACACCGGUGGCGAAGGCGGCUUCCUGGACAAUAACUGACGCUGAGGCGCGAAAGCUAGGGGAGCAAACAGG
rnacentral:rRNA from 1 species